GGGGGGGGGGUUGCAUUGUUUUGUUUGCAAUGGUGUACGGUUGGUGGGGACCGGAGAGUACCGAGAUCUAGAACUGAAAGGGGGGGGCCUUUUCCAGAACACCUACAUGCAUCUCUCAUCGAUGGAUACAAUUAAGAGAAAUAAAUCAUUUAUAAAUUAUAGUAUUCAGUAAUUGUUUAUUAAGAGAAAUAAUAAAAACAAAUUAUUAUA